GAUUCUUUAGUCACUAAAGUAAUUUUAAACAGGUUUCUAUCGCACCUAUAAGGACUUUCUGCAAUGAUGUCAUGCGCGGAUUGAUGAAGUCAUUUUACAUCAUUCUCUGUCAGUCAUUUUUCUCCCCCUGAAUCAUAUUGCGCAAUAUGACGUCAUAAAGAUUGACGUCACUUCCGACGAGAGCCAACGCAUUUGGCCAAUGAGCGCAAUAGAGGACCGUACGAAAACAUUACCAUUACAGCUGUGUAGGAACUAGCUGUUUAGCCAUCUGUGCAGCACGAAUAGCCUAACAUUAAAAAGAAAGAAAAAAAAGCUGUGUAGGAACUGAUGUGGUGCUGAACAUCCGGAAGGGGGACACUUUAGGAGGACGGACUCAUAGGGAGCAGAGCUAAUGUUGAGUGUCAAUAAAGCUCCAGUUAAAGAGCUACAAGAGACUCUUGAAUCGUUGGUCACAGCGUGCUCAGACAGAACAGUACAUGGUGUCAGAAACCGUCUCAGGCAGAGAUCGGAAGACGACACCGGUGAAAAUCAGCCGUCAUUGCCGCUAGCCGAGAGAAGCUAACUGUGCUAACAAGCUAACGGCGCGCGCUACGUGGAGCCCACAGUUCGGAAAAUGAUGGAUUCAUUAUUAUCAAUCAACCCACCUGAAAACUUUGACUUAGUGAUACUCGUCGUGGAUCCGCCGUUUGGAAGGGUUUCGUGUUGCAGCAGGACUGGAGGCCAAGGAAGACAGGUACCAAGUUAACUCCUUAGUGCAGGAGGGUCAAACUGGAGCAAUCCAAAACUCACCUUAGGACGCGGGCCGAACAGGAUCGAUAUUUAUUGAACACACUAAAACUACUUUUUUACACGUAAAAAACGUCGCUUUUUAGCAUUACUAUGAAUAAAAACAGACAGGACUAUUAAUCCUGCAAAAAGAUUCCACUUAAACCUUAUUAAACUCUCUCUAUUUUAAUCUCCAAUAUAUAUAUAUAUUUUGUCAAAAUUGUACAAGUUAGAAAUUCGUGUUAGAUCGGGCCUUUAAUAACAGUAAAAUAAAAUCAUCUGGAGGGCGGAUCCGGUUCAUUGGUGAUAAAGCAGAUAAUAUCCUGAACACACACUAAGUGAAGAAGAACAACAAAGGUGCAAGAAUGUAAGAGAAGCCUUUGAUAAGCACUUUAUUGACAACAACCAAGGUUAUACGUAUGUGACUAGAAUUUUAACGCUCAACUGGAAAUGACUAAAAGAGACAUUUCCAAUGGUGUAAAGAUCAUUCAGAUAGCUAAAAGAAUUAGAAAGUUUUGGAAUUUUAAGUGAUCACAAGUAGGAUGUAAUUUUAUUCCUGAAUAAUUAGCAAAACAGUUGAAUUCUUUUGACCAGAACCAAAGAUUAGUGACAGUGUCAUAACUUUAUCAUUACUUGUCAAUUCCACAAACAGGAGGUAUCGUUGCAAAGCUGAACUACAAGAAUUAAAGUUUUUUGGUAUUAAAUCAAUAUUCAUUUCUUUAUUAUCAAAUAAUAAUUCAGAAAUCUGCUCCUGUAUACUUGUAGACAUCGGUUACAGCCAAUAAGCUUGCUAAAUUUGGUCACAUGACCUCAUGUUCCAGCAUUCAAUUCUUGGACACAGAAGUUUGUGAACGAAAAAUAAACAUUACCUGCUAAUUGUUUUACAGGAGAUGAAGAAUACAAUAACAGUAAUUGACUAGUAGCAAAACUAGACAACAACUAACUUAAAAAGCUGACGAGUGGUUUUUGAACCACAAUUUUGGUCCAAAAGAUAUCCUAGCUUAUACAGCACAGAUUGAAAAAAAAACUAUAAUAUCACCAGAUGUUCCCGCAUGUUUACUGUCCACCGAUCUAGUCACGCUCGUUCUAAGGAGAGAACCCUGCAGCCUCAUGCACACCAAACAGCUGGUCUGGUAGAAAGUCCUGGUGUCUAAGGUGCACAUACGCUCGUCUAAAUAUUAAGGACAUGAAAGAAGCAAACGUCAAUACAUUAAAAAUUAAGAAAUAGACUUUUCAAGGAUAUCAGGCAUGUAAACGUUUGACACAAAGAGUCAGAGUGAAAAUCAGAGAGGAUACAAGCACUGUGGGCUCUGAGGCAAGUCACCUGCACACUCCAAAAACACCUGGGCAGCACGGGACGCCAUGUGUAGGAAAUGUCCGAAAAAGGGACAUUUUGCAGCAGCGUGCAGAUGGAGCAGAAUUGGAGCAGUCCUUGAAGAUGAGGACGACACACUGUAUCUUGGAGCCGUUUCUGCUGGAACACAGUCCAAUGACGAAAACAACUGUAGAAGUAAAUGGCAAAAAUGUAACCUUCAAACUGGACACAGGAGUGGAUGUGACGGUGAUACCAGCUGCCAGCUACUCAAAGAUCUCACCAGACCAGGAAAAGCCCUUGGUGGUCCGGGUAGAAAAGCCCUAAAAGUGAAAGAGAGCGCCACAUAUUGUCGGCUGGGGAUGAGACGUUGGCCAAGUUUGCAGGAGCAACUGUCUUCACAAAACUGGAUGCUACAGCGGGGUUUUGGCAAGUACCUCUACACCCAGAGUCAGUCCCUUUCAGGCUUGUACGGUAUUAAGGUAAUACCGUACACCGUCGGUCUGUAAAAAUACCGUCAUUACCAACUUAUUAGAGGCAUGAUUUUUUUCCAACCCAAAAAUUAAAUAAAACAACUAAAUCUGAUUGUA